rnacentral:ncRNA from 1 species
AUAAAGGUAAUGCAGGGAAGAGUAGGUCUGUAUUUUGAACACUAGAGAGCUGGGAAAGGUGAAAGCCAGCGUUCAAAGUCUUGCCGAAUAUGGCCCCUAAACUGUAUAGCUGAAAAAAGUAGGCUAUGACGGGUUUGCAACCGUUAAGAUUGCAAGGUUAUGAUUGUAACCUAUAGAGAUUUAAACUGUGAAGUUUAAAUGAAUUGGAGUGGUACCGCGAAGAAUACCUUCGUCUCUAUU